rnacentral:lncRNA from 1 species
GGCCAGGCUGGAGAGGAAAGUGCAGUGGCAUAUUGGAAUGUGAGAUUAGCGUAAGCGAGUUACAGGGUGUUUUAUUGCACGGGCGAAUUUACGUGCAAAUCUUUCACCGUAGCAUCAGUCCUGAGUUCACUUCUUGGAACGAACAUCAGCAUAGGUGCAAGCCCUCUCGCUUGGGGGGAUAUGCAAACAAACAUCCUGAUAGGGGUAAACUCGCACGCUACCGAGCAUUCAACCGAGCACAUGCAUGCUUAGUUGAAUGGUGAGAUGCGACCCCCCCUUCAUUUCGUGCUCGGCAAGCCUGCCACCGCGUACCGGAUAUGUUGGCGAUGUUACAGAACGCUGCACCUUGGUUUCUGUGCGCAUUACGUACGUUGCUCGACCCCGCCGACCAAAACUACACGUGCCCAACUGAAGACAUUCCCGGUGGUUGUGCAGCAGCUCUUGAGGCUGUUGCUGGCUGAAAUCCAUCCUGAGCUGUUGCAACACGGCUAACGCGGGCACGUCCUAUGCACAGCAAAUACCGUAGUGACAGGAAAUGUUCGUGAUUUUAAUUUCGUGACGGCAUCACGAAAUUAUGUCACAUAUAAAUUACAAGCUGUUCCAGGCGAUGGUCGUCACGAAUAUAUGUGUGCUCCGAAGCCAAAUCGUAUAAUGCCUUCAACACAGUAAUUACUCGACAAAUUCCACUUUUCUGGCCAUAUAUACAUCCAUAGUAAUUGAACGGACAUGGAUCCGAGGGCUAAGCGGCCUAAGCAACAAAGCCUCCUUCAAUGCGGACUGAGGCGAACGGCCAGGCAGUUGAGGGCCCCCGCGCGCCUUGCCGACUACGCACACUAAUCUGGAAUCUGGUGUUUGCUGGUGUGCAGAAUAACCGUGCAUGCAUUGGCCAGCUUUUGCGUCAAUCGGCGUUCUGAGUCGGACCCAUUAACGAAUAUUGCAGGCACCGUUGCUUCGGUUGCGUUGGCUUCUCACGAAUUCAAAAGUUUCACCAAUAAUUUCGGGUGUAAUUUUGAGGGUGUCUCGAACAAUAAAAUCACGAACAUUUCCUGUCACUACGGUAGCUGUUCCAAGCCAACAGCGGCGUCCAUGUCACCGACAAGGCUUUAAACGUCUUAUCUGUUCUUAUGUUUAAUUAAGUUUAUGUAUGUUAUACUAUGCGCAACUUUGUAAUUUGACUUUACUCUGAACAAGGUGCUGCAUACAACUGCCUCUUCGCCAGCGCUUCAUCUUCCGCGGCAGUUUCACGAGCCCAGAGUUGCAAGCUACGACGUUGGCUUUCGGUGCUUUUAGUUACUGCAAAGCAUCCACGCAAUAGUUCAGCGUGCGGCUAUGGCCAACAUGCUCACCUGCGCAACGCGCUGGCGCACCUGGUCCUCAUCCGCCAAGAAAUUUUAUAUACAUUUGUACAGGCGCAUUUUGCGAAUCGCACGCGCGCAUCUGCGCGGCAAAAUUCGCUCCUGACUUUUGGGACGAGAUGUACGGAUUCUCUAUUCGNNNNNNNNNNNNNNNNNNNNNNNNNNNNNNNNNNNNNNNNNNNNNNNNNNAACAUCAGCAUAGGUCCAAGCCCUCUCGCUUGGAGGGAUAUGCAAACAAGCAUCCUAAUAGGGGUAAACUCGCACGCUACCGAGCAUUCAACCGAGCACAUGCAUGCUUAGUUGAAUGGUGAGAUGCGACCCCCCCUUCAUUUCGAGUUCGGCAAGCCUGCCACCGCGUACCGGAUAUGUUGGCGAUGUUACAGAACGCUGCACCUUGGUUUCUGUGCGCAUUGCGUACGUUGCUCGACCCCGCCGACCAAAACUACACGUGCUCAACUGAAGACAUUCCCGGUGGUUGUGCAGCAGCUCUUGAGGCUGUUGCUGGCUGAAAUCCAUCCUGAGACUGUUGCAACACGGCUAACGCGGGCACGUCCCUAUGCACAGCAAAUAGCUGUUCCAAGCCAACAGCGGCGUCCAUGUCACCGACAAGGCUCUAAACGUCUUAUCUGUUCUUAUGUUUAAUGAAG